rnacentral:lncRNA from 7 species
GGUGGUGGCUGCUCGUCCGUGGUUGGUUUGUGUGUCUCUUGCAGGGUGGCAGAUGGCCAUGCAUUGUGUUGGCGUGUUUGUUGCAGGUCCUUGUUUUCAUUACCUGAAAGAGUAAGGUAAUGGGAGACGUGCGACUGCUCUCCUGGUAAGGUCAUUUAUGCCCACCCUUUCUUCAUGCUGUUUUUCCUGGGGCUGAAAUUUACAUUUCUGGUCUUUGAAGGCAGCUCUUCUGUCAGUGUGUGCAAUCCACUGUGGCUCCUGCAUCCCAAGUGCUGUCCAUGGUAUAGUGAUGAAUUUGCUGGUGGUGGCUGCUGCCUCUGCAUUUCUGACCAGAGUUUCCGGGACGGAUGUGAAAAAAAUGGCCUCAGCAUGGAUAUGAUGAAGAACGCGGUGAGCAAGGUCAAUGAGAGAGGGCAGGGAGGUGAAGCCGGGGCUGCACCU